UGGGGAAUUUUGGACAAUGGGCGAAAGCCUGAUCCCAGCAAUGCCGCGUGUGUGAAGAAGGCCUUCGGGUUGUAAAGCACUUUUUGUCCGGAAAGAAAUCCUUGGCUCUAAUACAGUCGGGGGGAUGACGGUACCGGAAGAAUAAGCACCGGCUAACUACGUGCAGCAGCCGCGGUAAUACGUAGGGUGCAAGCGUUAAUCGGAAUUACUGGGCGUAAAGCGUGCGCAGGCGGUUUGCUAAGACCGAUGUGAAAUCCCCGGGCUCAACCUGGGAACUGCAUUGGUGACUGGCAGGCUAGAGUAUGGCAGAGGGGGGUAGAAUUCCACGUGUAGCAGUGAAAUGCGUAGAGAUGUGGAGGAAUACCGAUGGCGAAGGCAGCCCCC
rnacentral:rRNA from 1 species